GAUGAACGCUGGCGGCGUGCCUAAUACAUGCAAGUCGAGCGAAUGGAUUAAGAGCUUGCUCUUAUGAAGUUAGCGGCGGACGGGUGAGUAACACGUGGGUAACCUGCCCAUAAGACUGGGAUAACUCCGGGAAACCGGGGCUAAUACCGGAUAACAUUUUGAACCGCAUGGUUCGAAAUUGAAAGGCGGCUUCGGCUGUCACUUAUGGAUGGACCCGCGUCGCAUUAGCUAGUUGGGGAGGGAACGGCUCACCAAGGCAACGAUGCGUAGCCGACCUGAGAGGGUGAUCGGCCACACUGGGACUGAGACACGGCCCAGACUCCUACGGGAGGCAGCAGUAGGGAAUCUUCCGCAAUGGACGAAAGUCUGACGGAGCAACGCCGCGUGAGUGGUGAAGGCUUUCGGGUCGUAAAACUCUGUUGUUAGGGAAGAACAAGUGCUAGUUGAAUAAGCUGGCACCUUGACGGUACCUAACCAGAAAGCCACGGCUAACUACGUGCCAGCAGCCGCCGUAA
rnacentral:rRNA from 1 species